ensembl:lncRNA
UAAAGGUGAGGUUGGGUGGUAGUGAGUGUCGGCCGUCUGUUCUCUCACCCUUCCUUCUCUGUGUCUGAUGGGUUCUCCCUGACAGGUGAAUGUUGAAGCCCGUGUGACUAAAGGUGAGGUUGGGUGGUAGUGAGUGUCGGCCGUCUGUUCUCUCACCCUUCCUUCUCUGUGUCUGAUGGGUUCUCCCUGACAGGUGAAUGUUGAAGCCCGUGUGACUAAAGGUGAGGUUGGGUGGUAGUGAGUGUCGGCCGUCUGUUCUCUCACCCUUCCUUCUCUGUGUCUGAUGGGUUCUCCCUGACAGGUGAAUGUUGAAGCCCGUGUGAUUAAAGGUGAGGUUGGGUGCCCGUGUGAUUAAAGGUGAGGUUGGGUGGUAGUGAGUGUCGGCCGUCUGUUCUCUCACCCUUCCUUCUCUGUGUCUGAUGGGUUCUCCCUGACAGGUGAAUGUUGAAGCCCGUGUGAUUAAAGGUGAGGUUGGGUGGUAGUGAGUGUCGGCCGUCUGUUCUCUCACCCUUCCUUCUCUGUGUCUGUUCUUCCAUCGCCUUCUUUAUUUUCUAAGGUUUUAGACGUCGUUGAUAUUUCAAUGUCUUCCUUUUAUUUUUUAUUUUUUUGUUUAUGAAACAGGAGUUUACCAAAGUGUUUUUGGGUUGUUAUUUUAUGUAUCCGGCUGUGUUGUUGUCCUUUCUACUCUUGUAGCUCUUCAGGUCUUUGUUGUCAGUAUAAAGCAGGCUCCUAUAGACUCGUUGGACAGGUAAUAACUCAAAGGAAACUCACAAAAUAAGACGGCCAGAUAAUUACAAACUACAUAGUGCGUAUUUUUACAUUAUCUCACCAGAUUGCACUAAGAUAUUAAAUGAAAGAUUCAUUUCAGUGCCAAAGGCUUUAAUAAUUCCUUCUCUACCUGAAAUAGAUUACAAACAUAUGUGAACACGUCAAACGCUGCCAGUGUGCUGUUGCAUUUCUGUCAGAUGGGUCGUCGUACAGUCCCAGUCCUUGUUCUUGGAACCAACCACACUACUCGCUGUGCAUUGGCUCCUUGGAAUGGAUUCCAUUUCCAGAACAUGCUAAUUUUUUUUGUGUGGCCUUUUUAGUUGAA